rnacentral:rRNA from 1 species
AGAGUUUGAUCAUGGCUCAGGAUGAACGCUGGCGGCGUGCUUAACACAUGCAAGUCGAACGAACCUUCGGGUUAGUGGCGGACGGGUGAGUAACGCGUGGGAACCUGCCCUCAGGAGGGGGAUAACGGCUGGAAACGGCCGCUAAUACCCCAUAUGCCGAGAGGUGAAAAGAAAUUCGCCUGAGGAUGGGCCCGCGUCUGAUUAGCUAGUUGGUGGGGUAAGAGCCUACCAAGGCGACGAUCAGUAGCUGGUCUGAGAGGAUGAUCAGCCACACUGGGACUGAGACACGGCCCAGACUCCUACGGGAGGCAGCAGUGGGGAAUUUUCCGCAAUGGGCGAAAGCCUGACGGAGCAACGCCGCGUGAGGGAUGAAGGCCUCUGGGCUGUAAACCUCUUUUCUCAAGGAAGAAGAACUGACGGUACUUGAGGAAUAAGCCACGGCUAAUUCCGUGCCAGCAGCCGCGGUAAUACGGGAGUGGCAAGCGUUAUCCGGAAUUAUUGGGCGUAAAGCGUCCGCAGGCGGCCUUGUAAGUCUGUCGUUAAAGCGUGGAGCUUAACUCCAUUUGAGCGAUGGAAACUACAAGGCUUGAGUGUGGUAGGGGCAGAGGGAAUUCCCGGUGUAGCGGUGAAAUGCGUAGAUAUCGGGAAGGACACCAGUGGCGAAGGCGCUCUGCUGGGCCAUAACUGACGCUCAUGGACGAAAGCCAGGGGAGCGAAAGGGAUUAGAUACCCCUGUAGUCCUGGCCGUAAACGAUGAACACUAGGUGUUGGGGGAUCGACCCCCUCGGUGUCGUAGCCAACGCGUUAAGUGUUCCGCCUGGGGAGUACGCACGCAAGUGUGAACUCAAAGGAUUGACGGGGCCCGCACAAGCGGUGGAGUAUGUGGUUUAAUUCGAUGCAACGCGAAGAACCUUACCAGGGUUUGACAUCCUGCGAACCUCUGAGAAAUCGGGGGGUGCCUUCGGGAACGCAGAGACAGGUGGUGCAUGGCUGUCGUCAGCUCGUGUCGUGAGAUGUUGGGUUAAGUCCCGCAACGAGCGCAACCCACGUCUUUAGUUGCCAGCAUUCAGUUGGGCACUCUAGAGAGACCGCCGGUGAUAAACCGGAGGAAGGUGUGGAUGACGUCAAGUCAUCAUGCCCCUUACAUCCUGGGCUACACACGUACUACAAUGCUACGGACAAAGGGCAGCAAGCUCGCGAGAGUAAGCAAAUCCCAUAAACCGUGGCUCAGUUCAGAUCGUAGGCUGCAACUCGCCUACGUGAAGGAGGAAUCGCUAGUAAUCGCAGGUCAGCAUACUGCGGUGAAUACGUUCCCGGGCCUUGUACACACCGCCCGUCACACCAUGGAAGUUGGCCACGCCCGAAGUCGUUACUCCAACCCUUGUGGAGGAGGACGCCGAAGGUGGGGCUGAUGACUGGGGUGAAGUCGUAACAAGGUAACC